rnacentral:misc_RNA from 1 species
AAGUCGUAACAAGGUUUCCGUAGGUGAACCUGCGGAAGGAUCAUUACAACGUAUCCACGUACAAACCAAACCUGUGAACUUGUUUCCCUUUGGAGCGGCAAUUGCAAACUGAUUCAGACCCCAAGUGAAUGCCUGUUCGUUUUUCGAACAAGCGGGACUGAUUCGGGCUGCUCUAAAGUGGUUUUCCACUUAUUCACUUUUCUAUUAUAAACCCAUUGAACCUUAUUCAUUCUUGAACUUAACCGGAAAGCGUUAACGCUUUCUAAUCUUUUAUAAACUAAAAGAACAACUCUUAACAAC